rnacentral:misc_RNA from 1 species
GGGACUACAAGGGUAUCUAAUCCUGUUUGCUCCCCACGCUGUCGCGCCUCAGCGUCAGUAAUAGGCCAGGUCGCCGCCUUCGCCACCGGUGUUCUUCCCAAUAUCUACGAAUUUCACCUCUACACUGGGAAUUCCACGACCCUCUCCUACCCUCUAGCAUAGCCGUCUCAAACGCAGCCCCCAGGUUAAGCCCAGGAAUUUCACGCCUGACUGACUAAGCCGCCUACGCGCCCUUUACGCCCAGUAAUUCCGAGCAACGCUAGCCCCCUUCGUAUUACCGCGGCGGCUGGCAC